CCUACGGGCGGCAGCAGUGGGGAAUAUUGGACAAUGGGGGGAACCCUGAUCCAGCCAUGCCGCGUGUGUGAAGAAGGCCCUCGGGUUGUAAAGCACUUUCAGUGAGGAAGAACGCCUGGUGGUUAAUACCCAUCAGGAAAGACAUCACUCACAGAAGAAGCACCGGCUAACUCCGUGCCAGCAGCCGCGGUAAUACGGAGGGUGCGAGCGUUAAUCGGAAUUACUGGGCGUAAAGCACGCGUAGGUGGCUUGAUAAGCCGGUUGUGAAAGCCCCGGGCUCAACCUGGGAACGGCAUCCGGAACUGUCAAGCUAGAGUGCAGGAGAGGAAGGUAGAAUUCCCGGUGUAGCGGUGAAAUGCGUAGACAUCGGGAGGAAUACCAGUGGCGAAGGCGGCCUUCUGGACUGACACUGACACUGAGGUGCGAAAGCGUGGGUAGCAAACAGGAUUAGAUACCCUUGUAGUC
rnacentral:rRNA from 1 species